rnacentral:tRNA from 1 species
GGUCUGUUGGUCAAGAGGUUAAGACACCGCCUUUUCACGGCGGUAACACGGGUUCGAGUCCCGUACAGACUA